GAUGAAGAACGUAGUGAAAUGCGAUAAGUAGUGUGAAUUGCAGAAUUCAGUGAAUCAUCGAAUCUUUGAACGCACAUUGCGCCCCUUGGUAUUCCAUGGGGCAUGCCUGUUCGAGCGUCAUUUGUACCUUCAAGCUUUGCUUGGUGUUGGGUGUUUGUCCUGAGGGACUCGCCUUAAAGUAAUUGGCAGCGGUCGUGCCAGCUUCUCGCGCAGCACAUUUGCGUUUCUUGAAGUUUGGUGGAUCAGCAUCCAGUAAGCUCUUUUAUGACUUGACCUCGGAUCAGGUAGGGAUACCCGCUGAACUUAAGCAUAUCAAUAAGCGGAGGA
rnacentral:misc_RNA from 1 species